rnacentral:rRNA from 1 species
GAACGCGGGAGGAGGGGGUAAGACAUGCAAGUCGAACGGAAAGGCCCUGCUUUUGUGGGGUGCUCGAGUGGCGAACGGGUGAGUAACACGUGAGUAACCUGCCCUUGACUUUGGGAUAACUUCAGGAAACUGGGGCUAAUACCGGAUAGGAGCUCCUGCUGCAUGGUGGGGGUUGGAAAGUUUCGGCGGUUGGGGAUGGACUCGCGGCUUAUCAGCUUGUUGGUGGGGUAGUGGCUUACCAAGGCUUUGACGGGUAGCCGGCCUGAGAGGGUGACCGGCCACAUUGGGACUGAGAUACGGCCCAGACUCCUACGGGAGGCAGCAGUGGGGAAUAUUGCACAAUGGGCGGAAGCCUGAUGCAGCAACGCCGCGUGCGGGAUGACGGCCUUCGGGUUGUAAACCGCUUUCGCCUGUGACGAAGCGUGAGUGACGGUAAUGGGUAAAGAAGCACCGGCUAACUACGUG